AAAGGGAAGAGGGGUAGAAAAAGUUAUUAGAUAGCGAAGCGAAGUAAGUCCAAUGCUAUCUAGUAAUUUUUCUACCUACUUACCUACUAUUGGAUUUGAACCAAUGACUCCCGCCGUAUGAAAGCAAUACUCUAACCACUGAGUUAAGUAGGCAAUUUAUCACCACAAAGGAAGACCCAUUACUUCGAUCGAUUAUAUAUUGAAUCCCUUUUCUAAGCAAUACCGCUCUGUUAUUGGUCUGUUAUAUACUAAAUACUAAACUAAAUACUAAACAGAUACAGAUCAAAGGGGUAUCCUCUGGCAUUAGAAAAUAUUCAUCUUGACAAGAAAUUAUCUAUAUGUUAAGAUAUCUCUGAUAAGGGCUAUAGCUCAGUUCGGUAGAGCAACUCGUUUACACGUGCGCCAAUGCUUUUCAAAGGAGCUUAUUAUGCAAUGAACAUAAUCGAUCUUAUUGCAAAAUCAAUGUCUUACUUCAUAGAUUCGAGAGAAUAGGAGAACAGUAGCCUGACAAACAGUCGGUUCAGUCCGAUUCAGGUGCCAAUUCAGGUGCCUAAUCAAAUAGAACCCUUAUGGAUUUGCUAGUUGAUAAGGUAAAUAUCCAGCCCACUAAAUGCUAGGCGUAAUGAGGAUAAGGGCCUCCAAAAAACUUCUUUUCGUUCUAUGAACUUUAAGGUGUAUGAAGUCUCAUAGUUAACUCUUGCAGUGGAACGAUAGAGACUCCAUUUCACUUAGGUUGAUUUAAUUUAGACCGGAGGCAGACCUAAGUCAAGGUAAUCCUCCUUUGAAACACUUUGGUAUUGCUCCUAGAUAGAUCAUAAUACAAAAAAUCAAUCAGAGCACAGGGAGCCAUCUCAUUAUCUUUCCGUAAAGAAAAACUAUGGUGGACUAACUGAUCUUUAAAUCAGUUUAUGAAAGAGCCCAAUGCAAAAAAAUGCAUGUUGGGUCUUUGAAACAGUUCAAAUCAUUUCGAUAAUAAUCCGUUUGAUCUGUUUUACCGAGAAGGUCUACGGUUCGAAUCCGUAUAGCCCUAAUAUGCCCUUUUUUAGAUUUUAGGAUCUCUAUCCUAUGUUUUCUUUAGUUUAGUAUAGUUUUCAUUUUCUCAUUAGUAUUUGUUUAUAGACUGGAUAGGCGCCUGCGACAUAGAAUAGAGAUAAAAGCAUUACCAAAGGCUCAUUCAUCAAAAAUCAAAAUCAUACAGACAGGAAAAGAAAAACGAAUUUCUAUCAAAUCAAUAGAAGAAA